AAGUCGUAACAAGGUCUCCGUAGGUGAACCUGCGGAGGGAUCAUUAACACUCAUUAAUUAUCCAAUACCCAACACCCAACGUGAACUUUUCCCGCUCCCCAUGCUGAGAGCUGGUGUCAGCCAGCUCCUCUGUCAUGGGCUAACCCGGCAACGCAUGCCGCACAAGAUGCGCAUGUGCUGCCCCCGAAUUAUUUUUUACCCCAUUCAACCACAACUUUGCAGUUUGUUGCUCUGCUUUUGUUGGAGCACAACACUUGCAUUCCUCUAACUCCCAACAACAAACAACAAGAAACAACUCCAUCGCAAACCCUGUGUUUGUGUGUUGCUGUGUGUUGCUUGUGUUUGGAGCGUUUUUACAAAGCAAAUGUAACAACAACUCUUAACAAUGGAUAUCUUGGUUCUC
rnacentral:misc_RNA from 1 species